ensembl:lncRNA
GAAAGAAUCCAUAAGAUAGAGAGGAUUCAGUUUCUGUGGGCAUUUACACAACUAAACUUUGUUUAAACUAAAAAAUGUAAUACUUCUUAUGUGUUUUGGCCAUUCAUUUACACAAUAGCAGCAUUCUGGUUGCCUGAAAAUGCAAACUUUUGAAAACAGGGGUCCAUUCUUCGUACCUUGCUUAAUAAAUCUGAGAUGGUUUGAAAGAUGCCAGAUCUUCUAAUCAUGAUAACUGAUCUCUGGCUAAUUUGGUUCUUCAAACAAAUUUGUGGAUUUGAUUAAAAUACCUGGAUUAAGCUGUCUGAGAUUACUAUGAGUUCUCAUGUUCCCUGAAAAGGGCAGAUGUAUCAAUACUAAAAACUGUAUCAAUGCAUCAAUACAAAAAAAAAAAAAAAAAAAAAAAAAAAUGCAGCUAUUGGCUGGUGGCAAGACAGCAACAUAUUGACAUCAUAUAAUUAACAAAAACUUGACACAUUUCUGAACAUUUACAGUUUAAGGAAACAACCAAACAAAUGAAAUAGUUAUAAUAGAUAAAGGAAAUGUGCACUGUUUUUAAUUGUUUUUAUUUUUUAUUUACAAGAUUCACAAUUAUUUAUAUUCACGAUUUCUAGUAUUUUAUAAUAUUAUAACAUUAUUUUGUAAUUAUUAUUCUUUUAAAAGUAUUGUCCCUGGAUCAAUAGAGUACUCUUGUAUUAAAGUAGUGGCUGGGACAGAUUUUGAGUAUCACUUCUGCUUAAAAAAACACAUUCAAUUCCUGUUUACAUAAAAUAAGCCUGCUCCCGAGCAAGUUUAAGCUUACAGACCUGUUGCUAUGACAGGAACUCCAAGAUUAGCUUUGAAGAACCAAACAAUCCAAGAUCAUGCCAAAUCAUCAACAAUCAAAUCCAGCGUGAGUGAGCGACGUAUGAAGAACAGACCUCAGGUUUUGAAGUGCAAACUUUUGAAAACAACACUUUUAUCAUCUCUGUGUAAACUACGAAAACUACUUGUUCCUGAUGGUUGGUCUUGUCUGUCAGUCUUGUUUGCCUUAUGGAAGGACUGUCUCCUGGAGAGCCAGGCCUAAUUAAACACACAUGAACCAGCUUAUCACAGUCUUCAGGAUGGUAGUAGAAACUUCAGGCAAGUUGGAACUGUGCUUGAAUGCAGUGUCAUGGAGAUUAUAUACAAAUUAACUUAAGUUACUUGUUUUGUAAUGUUCAGAUUACAAAACAAGAAACUUAAAAAUGUACAAUUAUGUUGAUUGUCACGUUUGUUGAGUUUUGUAUGUUGAGUGUUGAUUAGUGUGUGCCUAGUUGCCGACCUAACCAUUCUACUAGACACAAAAGUAUUGCCAACACCUGGUUAAUUGUUUAUAAAAGAUUAUUUUCUUUUAAAGGGGUCAUAUGAUGCUGCUAAAAAGAACAUUAUUUUGUGUAUUUGGUGUAAUGAAAUGUGUUUAUAUGGUUUAAGGUUAAAAAACAAAUAAUUUUCCACAUACUGUACAUUAUUGUUUCUUCUCUAUGCCCCGCCUUCUGAAACGCGUCAAUUUUUACAAGGCUCAUCGCUCUGAAAAUCGAGGUGUGCUGUGAUUGGCCAGCUAUCCAGCGCAUUGUGAUUGGCCGAAUGCCUCAAGUGUGUGACGGAAAUGUUACGCCUCUUAACAUAUUGUGAUGCCUUGUCCAACCGGAGCGAUAAAACAUAAAUACACAUGCUCCAUUGCAUCUUCAUAAAAGAGUGCUCUGUUACUAUUCUUUUUCCUGAUUAUUUUGUGACAUAAAGCAUGCGAGAGUCUACACAGACAGGCAGGCAAUGGAAGCAUUAAAACUUGUUUCCUCAUAACAGAGUGAUUCAGAUGCACCAUCUGACACACAAUCGCUGGGUACAUUCCAACAUCUUGUUAUGUUUUAUUUUACUUCUGAAAAGUUCAAUCAAAUCAAUCAAAUCAUUUCAAGAAAAGCCAUGAUCAAAAUGAAUGCUUAUUAAAAUGCGCACCGGUUUUUAACGUGUCUUGACUGUCGUACAGUCUGAUAUUAAUGACAGUUGAGAUCCUACAGUCUGACAUGAUCAUCAUGUUCGUACAGUCU